rnacentral:rRNA from 1 species
AAAGGAAUAGACGGGGGCCCGCACAAGCGGCGGAGCAUGCGGUUUAAUUCGAUGCAACGCGAAGAACCUUACCUGGGUUUGACAUGUGGACGGCGGAUUCGGAGACGGGUCUUCCCUUCGGGGCGUCCUCACAGGUGGUGCAUGGCCGUCGUCAGCUCGUGUCGUGAGAUGUUGGGUCAAGUCCCGCAACGAGCGCAACCCUUGCCCUGUGUUGCCAGCAGGUUGUGCUGGGCACUCACGGGGGACCGCCGGGGUUAACCCGGAGGAGGGUGGGGAUGACGUCAGGUCAUCAUGCCCCUUACGUCCAGGGCUACACGCAUGCUACAAUGGCCGGCACAGCGGGAGGCGAUGCCGUGAGGCGGAGCGGAUCCCUUAAAGCCGGUCUCAGUUCGGAUCGGAGCCUGCAACUCGGCUCCGUGAAGGUGGAGUCGCUAGUAAUCGCGGAUCAGCAACGCCGCGGUGAAUGCGUUCCCGGGCCUUGUACACACCGCCCGU